rnacentral:rRNA from 1 species
UACGUAGGGGGCUAGCGUUAUCCGGAAUUACUGGGCGUAAAGGGUGCGUAGGUGGUUUCUUAAGUCAGAGGUGAAAGGCUACGGCUCAACCGUAGUAAGCCUUUGAAACGGGGAAACUUGAGUGCAGGAGAGGAGAGUGGAAUUCCUAGUGUAGCGGUGAAAUGCGUAGAUAUUAGGAGGAACACCAGUUGCGAAGGCGGCUCUCUGGACUGUAACUGACACUGAGGCACGAAAGCGUGGGGAGCAAACAGGAUUAGAUACCCUGGUAGUCCCUGAGCGGG